ACCGUGUGUAGUGUGUAUUCACCUUACCCCCACUCUAUCCCCACUACUCAUGUUUACCGCGACGCCCGUGACCUGUUCUGACGUCAGACGCGCCCCAGUUCCCGUUCCCAAUGUUCCCAUAUCGCAUAUAUCGCGGAGUAAAUACACGAGUCGCCGGGUCCGAUUGUUUAGCUUGCGAAAAACUGUGAUACAUAUAUCGAAAGUUCAUUUAAUUCAUGUGCUUCGAGGAAUUUAUACGGAUACCGAGGUAUAUCGCAUUCGAUUACAUUUUUUCGGAUAAUCCGUAGUUAAUCAAAGUCGCGUAAUCGCGUUCUCGAGACAGUUGCUCCGGGCGAGUGAAGUUAGCCGUGCGCGAUUUACGAAAUUCUCUCCGCCACCUUCGCUUCACUUGUCGUGUCUACCUGCGCGCGGGAAUCGCGGGAUGUCACGGUGCGGCGUCAUGGCGUCAUGGACGUCAAGCGGAUCGUAUAGUUUCGUUCGUAGUUUCUUCGACCGCGACGUAAUUCCACGUAAUUCUUUUGUCGCCGUGUAACUAAGUUUCUUAGUACCGCGUCGCGAGAUUAAUACCGGGAGUGCCGUGUGCCUUUAGUGUCGCGCGAUCAUAAGAGGAGACGAUAUCGACGAUAUCGUCGAUUUUCGCUCGUGAACGUCGUCGCGUUGUGAGUGAGUGCGACAAUGGACCAAGGACCAACGGAGUAACGGAGGACGAUCGAGGAGAGGAGAACGGGGCCUGGGAGGCAUCGGGCGACGGCGGAGCGACCGUGGGAUCAACGCAGAAUUACAACUCCGCUGUUGCGCAUCGGCCGCUUAAUGCUAAGGUAGCACCGCCACGAUUUUCUCCGAAAUGGCACGGGAUACAAAAUUGUUAUUAGUGGUACAAAUUAGUACAAAAUGGGUACUAAUUAUUCUGAUAGGUCCGGUUUGAUUCUGCCGAUUUGGUC